AGACGUCUACAUUAGAUACCCCGGUAGUCCCAGCCGUAAACUAUGCGCGUUAGGUGUAUCGGUGACCACGAGUUACCGAGGUGCCGAAGGGAAACCGUGAAACGUGCCGCCUGGGAAGUACGGUCGCAAGGCUGAAACUUAAAGGAAUUGGCGGGGAGCACCACAACGGGUGGAGCCUGCGGUUUAAUUGGACUCAACGCCGGGAAGCUCACCGGAUAGGACAGCAGAAUGAUUGCCGGGCUGAAGACCCUGCAUGACUAGCUG
rnacentral:rRNA from 1 species